rnacentral:lncRNA from 1 species
ACAAAGGCGGUUCGUGGAUUCGGAUCGUUGGCUCGUGGAUUCGAGUGGCGUCGUGGAUUCGGCGUGAUUGAAGCUUCGUGGAUUCGAAGUAGAGGCGUUCGUGGAUUCGGACGUGAGGGCGUGGACAACCCGGAGGGUAGCGCGAAGAUUCAUAGGAGGUUAAGAGAGGUAGAGUCCGUGGAGUCGGUAAUCACCUUGUAAUCUUUUCUCUUAGUGAAUUAUUUUUUCGCGUGUUGGUCCCGUGGGUUUUUCUCCAAGUUGGAGUUUUCCCACGUAAAUCUCGGUGUGCUUUUUAUUUUUCGCAUUUAUUUUUAUUGCAUCGAGAUUUGUGGUUUUUGGCCUUUC